AAUACCCAAUGAUAUCUCUAGAAGACAUCUGAAAGAGAUUAAAGAUUUAUCGGUGAUGGACGGGGAUGCGUCUGAUUAGCUUGUUGGCGGGGUAACGGCCCACCAAGGCAACGAUCAGUAGGGGUUCUGAGAGGAAGGUCCCCCACAUUGGAACUGAGACACGGUCCAAACUCCUAUGGGAGGCAGCAGUGAGGAAUAUUGGUCAAUGGACGAGAGUCUGAACCAGCCAAGUAGCGUGCAGGAUGACGGCCCUAUGGGUUGUAAACCGCUUUUAUAAGGGAAUAAAGUGAGUCUCGUGAGAUUUUUUGCAUGUACCUUAUGAAUAAGGACCGGCUAAUUCCGUGCCUGCAGCCGCGGUAAUACGGAAGGUCCGGGCGUUAUCCGGAUUUAUUGGGUUUAAAGGGAGCGUAGGCCGGAGAUUAAGCGUGUUGUGAAAUGUAGAUGCUCAACAUCUGCACUGCAGCGCGAACUGGUUUCCUUGAGUACGCACAAAGUGGGCGGAAUUCGUGGUGUAGCGGUGAAAUGCUUAGAUAUCACGAAGAACUCCGAUUGCGAAGGCAGCUCACUGGAGCGCAACUGACGCUGAAGCUCGAAAGUGCGGGUAUCGAACAGGAUUAGAUACCC
rnacentral:rRNA from 1 species